ACUGUGAACUACAGUUUCCUUGUAAAAGAAUGAUGUUCAUGGGGGCCUUAGAGUGGUUGUGAGAAUUAAGUUAUAUGCCAAAAGUAAAUUAUCUAGCACAGCAAAUGGCUGUAAUAGGUAUUCAAUAAAUGUUUUUUUUUUUUUUUUGAGACGGAGUUUCAUUUUGUCACCCAGGCUGGAUUGCAGUGGUGCAAUCUCAGCUCACUGCAACCUCCACCUCUCAGGCUCAAGUGAUUCUCCUGCCUCAGCCUCUGGAGUAGCUGGGAUUACAGGUUGCUGGCAGAGGUGGUUGGGGCUAUGUGCCUGGAGUGAAGAUUCUGCCCAUUGGUCAAGAGACCUCCCUCUCAGAUGCUGGCUCUGCCCCUGCCUUUGGGGGUCGACCCUUGUACU
rnacentral:antisense_RNA from 1 species